UAGUCCACGCCGUAAACGAUGGUUACUAGCUGUCCGGGCUCCGGCCUGGGCGGCCAAGCGAAAGUGAUAAGUAACCCACCUGGGGAGUACGUUCGCAAGAAUGAAACUCAAAGGAAUUGACGGGGGCCCGCACAAGCGGUGGAGCAUGUGGUUUAAUUCGAUGAUACGCGAGGAACCUUACCAGGGCUUAAAUGUAGUUUGACAGGCCUAGAGACAGGCUUUCCUUCGGGCAACCUACAAGGUGCUGCAUGGUUGUCGUCAGCUCGUGCCGUGAGGUGUCAGGUUAAGUCCUAUAACGAGCGCAACCCCUGUUGUUAGUUGCCAGCAAGUUAAGUUGGGGACUCUAACGAGACUGCCUUCGCAAGGAGUGAGGAAGGCGGGGAUGACGUCAAAUCAUCAUGGGCCCUUACGCCCAGGGGCGACACACGUGCUACAAUGGGACAGUACAACGGGGUAGCCAACUGGGCAACAGUGCGCCAAUCCCCUAAAAGCUAGUUCUCAGUUCGAAUUGGGAGUCUGCAACUC
rnacentral:rRNA from 1 species